GUAUAUAUGUUUCUCUUCAGAUCAUAUAAAUCUUUCACCUUUUACUAAAGAUUUUCAUGGGUAGGAUCAAGCUUGAAUCUUGCUUAUGUUUUUUGAGCAAAAAACAAAAACAUAUAU